GAUUAAGUUAUUAAGGGCGCACGGUGGAUGCCUUGGCACUAGAAGCCGAUGAAGGACGUUACUAACGACGAUAUGCUUUGGGGAGCUGUAAGUAAGCUUUGAUCCAGAGAUUUCCGAAUGGGGAAACCCAGCAUGAGUUAUGUCAUGUUAUCGAUAUGUGAAUACAUAGCAUAUCAGAAGGCACACCCGGAGAA
rnacentral:rRNA from 1 species